rnacentral:rRNA from 1 species
CAAGUCUGGUGCCAGCAGCCGCGGUAAUUCCAGCUCCAAUAGCGUAUAUUAAAGUUGCUGCAGUUAAAAAGCUCGUAGUUGAAUUUCGGGACUAAUAUGUCGGUCGUGCCUCGGUACGUACUGGUAUUUUUGGUUUCUCCCUUCUGACGAACCUUGAUGUCAUUAAUUUGGUGUCUUGGGAAAUCAGGACUGUUACUUUGAAAAAAUUAGAGUGUUUAAAGCAGGCUCACGCUUGAAUACAUUAGCAUGGAAUAAUGAAAUAGGACGUUUGAUUCUAUUUUGUUGGUUUCUAGGAUUGACGUAAUGAUUAAUAGGGAUAGUUGGGGGCAUUAGUAUUCAAUUGUCAGAGGUGAAAUUCUUGGAUUUAUUGAAGACUAACUACUGCGAAAGCAUUUGCCAAGGAUGUUUUCAUUAAUCAAGAACGAAAGUUAGGGGAUCGAAGACGAUCAGAUACCGUCGUAGUCUUAACCAUAAACUAUGCCGACUAGGGAUCGGAUGA